rnacentral:rRNA from 1 species
AGCAGCCGCGGUAAUUCCAGCUCCAAUAGCGUAUAUUAAAGUUGUUGCAGUUGAAAAGCUCGUAGUUGAAUUUCGGGGUCAGUAGGUCGGUCGUGCCACUGGUAUGAACUGGUUUUACUGAUUCCUCCCUCUUGAAGAACUGUAAUGCCAUUAAUUUGGUGUUGCAGGGAAUCAGGACUGUUACUUUGAAAAAAUUGAGUGUUUAAAGCAAGGCUUUAGCUUGAAUACAUUAGCAUGGAAUAAUGAAAUAGGACGUUUGAUCCUAUUUUGUUGGUUUCUAGGAUUGACGUAAUGAUUAAUAGGGAUAGUUGGGGCAUUAGUAUUCAAUUGUCAGAGGUGAAAUUCUUGGAUUUAUUGGAGACUAACUACUGCGAAAGCAUUUGCCAAGGAUGUUUUCAUUAAUCAAGAACGAAAGUUAGGGAAUCGAAGACGAUCAGAUACCGUCGUAGUCUUAACCAUAAACUAUAGACCGACUAGGGAUCGGAUGAUGUUAAUUUUUAUGUACUU